UACGUAGGGUGCGAGCGUUAAUCGGAAUUACUGGGCGUAAAGCGUGCGCAGGCGGUGAUGUAAGACCGAUGUGAAAUCCCCGGGCUUAACCUGGGAACUGCAUUGGUGACUGCAUUGCUGGAGUAUGGCAGAGGGAGGUGGAAUUCCACGUGUAGCAGUGAAAUGCGUAGAGAUGUGGAGGAACACCGAUGGCGAAGGCAGCCCCCUGGGCCAAUACUGGCGCUCAUGCACGAAAGCGUGGGGAGCAAACAGG
rnacentral:rRNA from 1 species